ACGGAAGGCAGCAGCGGGGAAUAUUGGGCAAUGGGGGAAACCCUGACCCAGCAACGCCGCGUGAAGGAAGAAGGCUUUCGGGUUGUAAACUUCUUUUAAGAGGGACGAACACAAUGACGGUACCUCUUGAAUAAGCCACGGCUAACUACGUGCCAGCAGCCGCGGUAAUACGUAGGUGGCGAGCGUUAUCCGGAUUUACUGGGUGUAAAGGGCGCGUAGGCGGAGCGGCAAGUCAGAUGUGAAAUCCAUGGGCUUAACCCAUGAACUGCAUUUGAAACUGUCGCCCUUGAGUGUCGGAGAGGUAGACGGAAUUCCUAGUGUAGCGGUGAAAUGCGUAGAUAUUAGGAGGAACACCAGUGGCGAAGGCGGUCUACUGGACGAUAACUGACGCUGAGGCGCGAAAGCGUGGGGAGCAAACAGGAUUAGAUACCCUGGUA
rnacentral:rRNA from 1 species